GUACAGGAUUCGCAGGCCAGUACCAGCUUCAACCCAGAAGGAGUUCUUAAGGGUCCAAUGGGGAACGUGCCUAACAAAUUAGGUAUGACACUUGGUCUUUCUUUUUUUCUCUUUUUGUUGUUUUGGGUUUUUUUAUUUUUAGUUUAAUUUAGAUUUUUUAAGGUUGCUUGUUUUGGGGGAUUGGUGGUGGUGGUGGUGGUGGUGGGAUUGCUACAUUCACCUCUAUGGGUCAAGAUUAACUGUUAUGUAUAUACUCUUUUCACCUACAUAUAAUUAACAAAAAGAAAAAAAGAAAAUAAUAAUAAUCAAUAUAUCGAAAACAUUUUUUAGAGUCUGCAGUUUUUUCUAGGUGAGGUCGAGUUGCCAGAAAUUGGUUAUCUAGUGGACAUUAAAGCAGUGGUGUGAUCAGUAGACUGAGCGCCGGGAAAAUGUCUUCUGUUAUAUCCCAUUCAGUUAAACUUAGGCGCAAAAAACAACAAGAAAAGAAAAAACCCAGUCUAGCGAGCGUCCGUGAUCACUCGCCUUCCUUAACAUAACUCAGCUUUCUCAUGGUACCGUUGUGUGAUGUCGUGUAGUGGUUGCAUUUUUUCAAUUAUUUAGUUAUCAUUUUUACCUCCUCCCUCCACAUACCAAAUCUUUGUUAUACCAGUCGUUGGGCACUGGUUAGGACUGGAGAAGACCCAGUCAGACAAAGGGUCCAUGUUCAUCGAGGGGAUUAGAUCCUUCGAUCCAAGCACACCAGUAGACAACAUCAUGGCGAGUAUCGACAGCAGUAAAAGGAUUAUGGUUGUCCUGUCAAACAGCUUCUCACAGCGGGACUGGUGUCAGUUUGAACUAAACGUCGUCCAGAGACACGUGCUGGAGAAAGGUCAAGACUUGCUGGUCGUGGUGGUGCUGGAACAACUUAACAACUGUCACUUGACCCCCACGAUGUUCACUAUGCUGCAGACGACAACAUAUAUCACGUGGCCCGAUGACGUGGAUUCCGAAGAGGGAUUCUGGGACAAUUUAACUUUAGCUCUUCGAGGAGGGUGAUCUAAAAACAAAAAUAACAAAACAACAACUUCAGUGGAAUUCAUUCUGUAAGUCUGAACAAGUGUCUAGCUUGUACAGCUACAUUAAUUAUAAACUGAAUGAACAGAUUUGCUGUGUUUCAGGUUUGUGUGCGUCAUUUAACACAUGUAUGUAAUCUAAGGGAUGACAAUGGCUAUGUUUAUAACUGUUAUUGGACACUCGAGUUCCUCUGCACGCUGGAUUUCUUUUGGAUGGAUAUUUUUGCUCCUGGUGACCUUUAACGUGCACUGUAUGUACUUUCUUGUUCUGGUUAAUUUUAUCUUGGAUAAUACUUUAUAGUAUUAUGAAUAAUAUAAUUAUAUACUUCUGAAAAGACAAUAUUUCAAAACGUAUGACUGAAGUAUGUUUGGCAGACUUUGAAUACUAUUAAUAUAUGGGGAUUGGUCUGUGAUGCAAAUUAUUAAAAUACAGUAGAGAUUGACAUAUUUUCCUUGUAAUUCAUAAUACUGUUCUGUUCUGCUGGAUCUGUUCUGUUUUAUUGCCUAGUUUCAGAAUACCAAACAGUUUUCACAGUCAGUAGGACUCUAAACGUUCAUGGUUUUGUUGUGAUGCUAAUUCAAUAAUUCUUGUGAACAACUUUCAAUAUACAGUAGUUAGCCAUUUAUUGUGAUGUUAGUUCUUUGUGUGAAAACUUUCUAAUACAUAAAAUUAUGCAUUUAUUGUA